GAUCAGACUUUAACAGCUCUGCAUGUUCCAUUUGAGAAUGGACCAGUAAUGUAUUUAUGUCAGUGAAAAAUGGAGUUGCAAAGAAACAAAAAAGUUGACGAAUUUUUGGCAGUCUUGAAACCUGUUCUCUAAUUCUCCCAAACCCACAGAUUUUUCAUGAUCCAAACAGAACUGCAUGCUAAUGCCAGAAGGGAAUGGAGGCAGGUGAGAACCCCAUCAUGAUACGGAAGGCUUGCCACAGUGUUCUGCAGCAGGAAUCCAUAGAACUGCUGUCUAGUCCCAGGACGCGCCAUUGUCUGUGAGGUGACACUCCACGCUGAGAUGUCACAUUGGCUGUCCCUUGUGGCAGCGCUGGGAGUGGUGGCCCAGUCUACUUGUGGGACCCGCAGGAAGUGGAGCCAGAGAGAGCACUGUGUCUUUCUGGAGAUAUCCUGCUGCGAUGGCACAGCUGAGAGCCCUUCGAGGUCUCCUUGCUUGUGUGGGCUGCGUGCCCAGAUGUACGUGGCACAGGGAGACAGGCAGGGUGUCAAGCCCUGUCCCUGCCUGUGCCGUGACUUUGCUGCUGCAGCACCUGCAAGACCACGAGGAUGACCGAGCGCAGCGUACCGUGAGCUGCAGAGCGCCCUGUGGGAAGACAGCAGCCGCCCGCCAUGUGGAGUGGUGAACCGGCUGCUGGGAGAGGUGUCCCAGGACCUGACAGCAGCCCAGGGUGGUACAGGCAAUGUGAGGACGGUGCCAGCAAUGUCCUGGUGGCUCUGGCCUGGAUGCACUUCAGCUUGGUGAUGGCUGAGCUCCAGAGCCACCUGAAGGCCACGGGGGAGAUGUCCAAGGAGUAUGUGCUCAUCACCUUGAGCAAACUGUUCAGCAGCUAUGGUAGAAUGCCCUCAGCCUCCUGACAUCUAUUUCUCCCUUCCGCGCGUGAUCUGCGUUGAGCUGGGGGAUGCAGGGCUGCAGCCCCUCCUCCCUCGCUGCCAGGGCUCUGACCGUGGCCCUCUCCUUCCUCUCUGCAGCUCCACAGUGCAUCCCCUUCGUGUGGCUGACACUGGCCGGCCUGCACAGUGUGGUGAGGAGCGGUCAGACCCUGCGCAUCGCUUGUGCUGGUGAGUGCUGGCCUCAGAGCAGGGGGGAUCGGGACCGCCCUUGCACCUCACCCUGCUGCAGACUCUCAGAAGCUUCCUUUUCUCUUGUUUUGUUUUGUUGCAUUUUUUGUUUCU